GACGAACGCUGGCGGCGUGCUUAACACAUGCAAGUCGAGCGGUAAGGCCCUUUCGGGGGUACGACGAGCGGCGAACGGGUAGGAGUAACACGUGGGUGACCUCGCCCUCCAGCUCUGGGAGUAAGCCUCGGGAAACGUAGGGUCGUAAUACCGGAUAUGACUCCAUGACGCAUGUUGUGGGGUGGAAAGCCUUGUGCGGCUGAGGAUGGG
rnacentral:rRNA from 1 species